GGCCCUCCCUCUCUCAGAGGAUGAAGAGGGGAAGGGAGAGAUUAGGGGAGGCUCUGCUCAGCUGUGGGGCCACAGAAGGCAGGAUCGGUGCUGACCUCCACCAUGGCCUGGUCCUUUCUCCUCCUCACCCUCCUCGCUCACUGCACAGGGUCCUGGGCUCAGUCUGUGCUGACUCAGCCGCCCUCAGUGUCUGGGGCCCUGGGCCAGAGGGUCACCAUCUCCUGCACUGGAAGCAGCUCCAACAUCGGGGGUGGUAAUUAUGUGAGCUGGUACCAACAACUCUCAGGAACAGCUCCCAAACUCCUCAUCUAUGGUAAUAGCAAUCGACCCUCGGGGGUCCCAGAUCGAUUUUCUGGCUCCAAGUCUGGCAGCACAGGCUCCUUGACCAUCGUUGGGCUGCAGGCUGAGGACGAGGCUGAUUAUUACUGCUCAGCAUGGGAUGAUAGUCUCAGUGCUUACACAGUGCUCCAGACCUGUGGGGAAGUGACACAAAAACAUAGUUACUCAUUUGUGAAGAGCGUGAAUAACCCAGCAGCUGCAUGCUCAGCUUAGUCUGUAAGUUCUGCU